CCCUCCCUCUUUCUUCCUGCCUAACAUAUGCAAGUCGAACGAGACCUUCGGGUCUAGUGGCGCACGGGUGCGUAACGCGUGGGAACCUGCCCUUAGGUUCGGAAUAAAUCCCCGAAAGGGGUGCUAAUACCGGAUAAUGUCUUCGGACCAAAGAUUUAUCGCCUUUGGAUGGGCCCGCGUUGGAUUAGCUAGUUGGUAGGGUAAAAGCCUACCAAGGCGACGAUCCAUAGCUGGUCUGAGAGGAUGAUCAGCCACACUGGGACUGAGACACGGCCCAGACUCCUACGGGAGGCAGCAGUGGGGAAUAUUGGACAAUGGGCGAAAGCCUGAUCCAGCAAUGCCGCGUGAGUGAUGAAGGCCUUAGGGUUGUAAAGCUCUUUUACCCGGGAUGAUAAUGACAGUACCGGGAGAAUAAGCGCCGGCUAACUCCG
rnacentral:rRNA from 1 species